rnacentral:sRNA from 13 species
UUGACAUGGAAAUGAGAAUCAUUAUUACGUCACUCAACUGGUCGCGAGAUCAGCCGGUAAGCUGAGAGACCCACGCAGUCGGACUCUUCAGAUUAUCUCCUCAUCAGGCUAAUCACGGUUUUUGACCCGGCACUUUGCCGGGUCUUUUUUUG